rnacentral:rRNA from 1 species
UACGUAGGGUGCAAGCGUUGUCCGGAAUUAUUGGGCGUAAAGAGCUUGUAGGCGGUUUGUCGCGUCUGCCGUGAAAGUCCGGGGCUCAACUCCGGAUCUGCGGUGGGUACGGGCAGACUAGAGUGAUGUAGGGGGAGACUGGAAUUCCUGGUGUAGCGGUGAAAUGCGCAGAUAUCAGGAAGAACACCAAUGGCGAAGGCAGCUCGCUGGGACGGUACUGACGCUGAGGCGCGAAAGCGUGGGGAGCAAACAGG